GAUGAACGCUGGCGGUGUGCUUUAGGUAUGCAAGUCGAGCGGGUCCUCUUCGGAGGACCAGCGGCAGACGGGUGAGUAACGCGUGGGAAUUUCCCUUUUGGUGUGGAAUAGCCUCGAGAAAUCGGGGGUAAUACCGCAUAAGUUAGGUGCCCUUUGGGCAUUUAGGAAAGGCCAUAACUGGUCGCCGAAAGAUGAGCCCGCGUCCUAUCAGCUUGUUGGUGAGGUAAUGGCUCACCAAGGCGAUGACGGGUAGCUGGACUGAGAGGUCGGUCAGCCACAAUGGGACUGCGACACGGCCCAUACAUCUACGGAUGGCAGCAACCGGGAAUAUUGCGCAAUGGACGAAAGUCUGACGCAGCGACACCGCGUGGGGGAUGAAGGCCUUCGGGUUGUAAACCUCUUUUAUAAGGGAAGAAGUGGUUCUUACGGACCAUUGACGGUACCUUUUGAAUAAGCACCGGCUAACUACGUGCCAGCAGCAGCGGUAAAACGUAGGGUGCAAGCGUUAUCCGGAUUUAUUGGGCGUAAAGCGUCCGCAGGCGGACGGUUAAGUCUUUCUUUAAAGUCCUCAGCUCAACUGAGGAAAAGGGAAAGAGACUGGCUGUCUAGAGGGUAGAAGGGGGUGUCGGAACUUGUGGUGUAGGGGUGAAAUCCGUUGAUAUCACAAGGAACGCCAAGGGCGAAGGCAGACACCUGGUAUACACCUGACGCUCAGGGACGAAAGCUAGGGGAGCAAAGCGGAUUAGAGACCCGCGUAGUCCUAGCUGUAAACGCUGUUCGCUCGUUCUUCGACUUUUAGUUGAGGGACUAAGGUAACCCGUUAAGCGAACCGCCUGGGGAGUACGACCGCAAGGUUGAAACUCAAAGGAAUUGACGGGGACCUGCACAACCAGUGGAGCAUGUGGUUUAAUUCGAUACGAAGCGAUGAACCUUACCUAGACUUGACAUACUAAUGACAUCUCUGGGAAACCAGAGCUUCCUUACGGACAUUAGAACAGCUGCUGCAUGGCUAUCGUCAGCUCGUGCCGUGGGGUGUCGGCUUAAGUGCCGUAACGAGCGCAACCCUUGUCUUGUGUUAAAUAUUCACAAGAGACUGCGGUCGACAUUUCGACCGAGGAAGGAGAGGACGACGUUAAGUCAGCAUGGUGCUUAUGUCUAGGGCAACACACAUCCUACAAUGGUCACGACAAUGGGUUGCCAAACCGCAAGGUGGAGCCAAUCCCCCAAACGUGGCCUCAGUUCAGAUUGUGGGCUGCAAUUCGCCCACAUGAAGUUGGAAUUGGUAGUAAUCGCGGAUCAGCAGGCCGCGGUGAAUACGUUCUCAGGUCU
rnacentral:rRNA from 1 species